rnacentral:lncRNA from 1 species
AUCUUUUAGAGCUCUAGUUCACCUCUCUGGUGUUGUUCUCAUCUGAUUAAUCUAAUUCAUGCUAGUUCUUGUUGAACUUCUUAUUAGAUCUCGAGUCUUUAUUUCUGUGUCCGUGACAGUUUGUCGAGACUUCACUCAUUAUAGAUAUCAGAGCUAGUUUCUUCUUUGUUAGAGUGUGGAUUACCCCUCUGCUUGGAAGUGUACUAGCAUUUUAGUGGUUGCGGAUUACCCUCCUUUAAACUGAUACUUUUUUGGUUACAAUAUUAGAGUCUUAUUCUUCUUGGAGAGAGUGGAUUACUCCUUUUCUUGAAGCUCUUAAGGCAUUUUAGAGGUUGUAGAGUACCCUCCUCUAAACCAAUAUUGUCUUCUUGUACAAUCAUUUCUGUCCUUCUCUUAGAAUGGCCGGGGGCUAAGACAUUAGUAUGGCAGAAAGUUCGGAGUCCAAGUUGGAUGCUAUCAUGAAUGCCUUCGCUACGUUAUCGCAAAGAACUGCAGAGAUUGAAGGAGUCAUGGCAAGGCUUCAUAAUGAUGGAACAUCUGAGAUGGCACAAUCUAGGUUGCAC